rnacentral:tRNA from 1 species
GGCUUUUUAGUAUAAUAAGUAUAAUUAUUUUAAGCGUAAUUGGUUUUUGAGCUA